GUGACUGCGUACCUUUUGUAUAAUGGGUCAGCGACUUAUAUUCUGUAGCAAGGUUAACCGAAUAGGGGAGCCGAAGGGAAACCGAGUCUUAACUGGGCGUUAAGUUGCAGGGUAUAGACCCGAAACCCGGUGAUCUAGCCAUGGGCAGGUUGAAGGUUGGGUAACACUAACUGGAGGACCGAACCGACUAAUGUUGAAAAAUUAGCGGAUGACUUGUGGCUGGGGGUGAAAGGCCAAUCAAACCGGGAGAUAGCUGGUUCUCCCCGAAAGCUAUUUAGGUAGCGCCUCGUGAAUUCAUCUCCGGGGGUAGAGCACUGUUUCGGCAAGGGGGUCAUCCCGACUUACCAACCCGAUGCAAACUGCGAAUACCGGAGAAUGUUAUCACGGGAGACACACGGCGGGUGCUAACGUCCGUCGUGAAGAGGGAAACAACCCAGACCGCCAGCUAAGGUCCCAAAGUCAUGGUUAAGUGGGAAACGAUGUGGGAAGGCCCAGACAGCCAGGAUGUUGGCUUAGAAGCAGCCAUCAUUUAAAGAAAGCGUAAUAGCUCACUGGUCGAGUCGGCCUGCGCGGAAGAUGUAACGGGGCUAAACCAUGCACCGAAGCUGCGGCAGCGACGCUUAUGCGUUGUUGGGUAGGGGAGCGUUCUGUAAGCCUGUGAAGGUGUGCUGUGAGGCAUGCUGGAGGUAUCAGAAGUGCGAAUGCUGACAUAAGUAACGAUAAAGCGGGUGAAAAGCCCGCUCGCCGGAAGACCAA
rnacentral:rRNA from 1 species